GAGGCCCAAUGAACCCCAGCUAUUUUAGCUCUCAUUUUUGCGUCUUCCCAGUGAACUGACAGACAAAGGCUGGGAGCUGGAAACUUCUGAAGGCUCAUUCACUUGCAUAUCUGUCAUGAAGCUUCAGGGCAGCUCCAGCUGAUGCCAGGGACUUCUGGAGUCCAUUACCGAGCUAUUCAACCCACGGCAGUAAUCCUCCCUCUGAGAAUACUACUGUAAUCCUCAAGUGCAGAGUAGAGACUACUGUGCGAAAGAACUCGGGAAAGCAGCAGGCAGUCUGGAAUGGCGAUGGGAAGAUCCAAAGGCAGCAAAGGCUUCUCUCCGCCAUGUGAAAGGCCUGAGUUUAGAUACCUCAGGGAAGUUUUAAUGCCAACCUUCUGUAAAAUCCCCAUUCUCUAACGUAUGGCUUUAAUUAACAAUCAUGUGUCAAUAUUUGUUAAUCAUAACAAAUGUACCAUACUCCUGUAAGAUGUUAUCAACAGGAAAAAUUGAAGGAGAGGUGCAUGGAGCUCUGUACUUUCCUUGCAAUUUUUCUGUAAAUCUAAAACUGUUGUAAAAAAUAAAGUUGGGGGA